UCCCUGGAGGACUAGUGGUUAGGACACAGUGCUCUCAAAGCUUCGGCCCGGGUUCGAUUCCUAGCCAGGGAA